AUAUACAAGAGUGGUAUUAUUUUCCUAAGGAUUAUGAUCUCUUAAAGCAGCGGAGGACCCAUUAGAGCCAUUUAGACACCAGGUGAACAUACGUCCCCAUAGUUCCAAGGUUACUAAGGAGUUCAUGGGAGUCCUCCAACACCUGUCUUUGUGAGAGAUGCAGUAAAUCCCACCCUGAUUAGUGCCUGCUGCCUUUUUUGUAUGGUCGAUCCCUCUCGAUAAUUGAAGAGAAUGUGGGGAUUGUUUUUCUAAGAACUGCAGUCCAACACAGUUAGUUAUGUGAAAGAAUUUACUUUGAUUCCAAGGUUCAAG